GGCAGCGAGGACUGGUCGGGCUGCUGCUGCGUCGCGCGCGGAGAGACGUCCGGGCUCCUGGUUCGCGUCGAGCUCGACGAGGGCCGGAGUUGCGGACAAGGGGGAACGGAGAGGUGUCCUUGCGGGCGGCGCCUCCCCGGGCCAGCAGUGCACGGGCGCGGCGCUCGAAGAUUCCGUCUAAGCGGAGCCCAGCUGCUCUCGGGACUCAGCGGCGGCGAGGGCGGCUCGGCGGGGGUCCCGGCGAGGAGACACAGCGGGUGCCCUUUCCUCGCAGCGGACUGGGAGCGACUGGGAGGUGCAGGCGCCAGCCAGCAUUAUUUUCUUACGAGGGGUGGGGAGGUGGGAUGGGAGGUGGAGAGGACGGGGGAGGGGGCGGCGGGCGGAGCAACAGCUCCGGAGCCCCGGGGGGGAGGGUCCUGGAGCCCGGGGGGGCCGUCGCCCGCAUCCCCCACCUCCCGCGGCAAGAGUGGAAGCGUGGCCCCGGCGAAAGCCGACCCGAGCCUUCGGCGCGUCCGCGCAGGGGGCGGGGUCCUGGUCCGGGACCGGGUCCUGCGGUGCGGCCCUUCCCCUCUUGCCUCCCCGUUUCCAGCAAACGGAGCUGGGCCGGCCGGGACCCGCCGGCCGGGAGAGCUGUCGCGCCUGCUCCGCAAGCCCGGAGCUCCUCUUCGCCGGCUGCCGGCCCACCGCGGCCCGCGCGGAAAGACUAGGCGGAGGGCGGAAUCCGGCGCACCGCUGCCGCCGUUCUGCCCCAACGCAGGCAGGCUUCUCCCAGGGAGUAAGGCAUCCAGAGAUCGAGGGCCGGGGCUCAGAAGCAACCGACCCAGAGGGGCCCGUCUGAGAGCCGCGGCGCCCAGGAGGCGCUCCGGGGGGGCCCGCGGGAGCCCGGCUCAGGGCGCGCCAUGCACGCUUCGGGCCCUGCGCCGCUCCGGCCGCUCGCGCCGCUCCUCCCUUCUCGCCCGCUCGCCGCCGCCUGAGAGCCCUCCGCAUCCCCUCCUCCCGCUGCCUCCCCGCCCCCCGCGCCGCCCGGGCCUCAGCUCACAUCGGCUAGAGGCCGCCUCCGCCCCCAGCCUGGCCGCGGCCGCAGCCUCGGCGCCCCGUGGGCAUCCUCAGGCCUGGCCGCGGGCACCCCAGCUCCCCUUCCUCACCUAA
rnacentral:lncRNA from 13 species